CCAAGGAGUCUAGCAUGUGUGCAAGUCGUCGGGCUCGCUUCUAAACCCGAAGGCGCAGUGAAAGUGAAGGCCGCUUGCAGGGCGGCCGAGGGAGGACGGCCCUCGCUUCGCGCGAGGGCUCGCACUCCCGGGGCGUUUCACCCUCUCCGAGGAGAGACGCACCCAGAGCGUACACGUUGGGACCCGAAAGAUGGUGAACUAUGCCUGGCCAGGACGAAGUCAGGGGAAACCCUGAUGGAGGUCCGUAGCGAUUCUGACGUGCAAAUCGAUCGUCAGAGCUGGGUAUAGGGGCGAAAGACCAAUCGAAUCAUCUAGUAGCUGGUUCCCUCCGAAGUUUCCCUCAGGAUAGCUGGCGCUCGGAGGAGAAAGAGUCUCAUAUGGUAAAGCGAAUGAUUAGAGGCCUUGGGGCCGAAACGACCUCAACCUAUUCUCAAACUUUAAAUGGGUGAGAUCUCCGGCUUGCUCGAGUCGUGAAGCCGGAGGUGGAUCAGAGUGCCAAGUGGGCCACUUUUGGUAAGCAGAACUGGCGCUGUGGGAUGAACCAAACGCGGAGUUAAGGCGCCUAAAGCGACGCUCAUUGGAGACCAUGAAAGGUGUUGGUUGCUUAAGACAGCAGAACGGUGGCCAUGGAAGUCGGAAUCCGCUAAGGAGUGUGUAACAACUCACCUGCCGAAGCAACUAGCCCUGAAAAUGGAUGGCGCUGAAGCGUCGUGCCUAUACUCCGCCGUCGGCGGCACUGGGAGGUACUCGCUACCUCCCGCGAGGCCCCGACGAGUAGGAGGGUCGCGGCGGCGAGCACAGAAGGGUCUGGGCGCGAGCCUGCCUGGAGCCGCCGCCGGCGCAGAUCUUGGUGGUAGUAGCAAAUACUCCAGCGAGGACCUGGAGGACUGACGCGGAGAAGGGUUUCGUGUGAACAGCCGUUGCACACGAGUCAGUCGAUCCUAAGCCCUAGGAGAAAUCCCACGCAGAUGGUCCGGUGAGACUGAGCACAUUUGUUUCGAACGCAGCACAGUGAGACCGGCCGUCGGGCGAAAGGGAAUCCGGUUCCUAUUCCGGAACCCGGCAGCGGAACCGUUCCAAUUCGGGCCCUCGCAAGAGGACUCGUCGGGGUAACCCAACAGGACCCGGAGACGCCGUCGGGAGAUCGGGGAAGAGUUUUCUUUUCUGCAUGAGCGUUCGAGUUCCCUGGAAUCCUCUAGCAGGGAGAUAGGGUUUGGAACGCGAAGAGCACCGCAGUUGCGGCGGUGUCCCGAUCUUCCCCUCGGACCUUGAAAAUCCGGGAGAGGGCCACGUGGAGCUUUCGCGCCGGCUCGUACCCAUAUCCGCAGCAGGUCUCCGAGGUUAAGAGCCUCUAGUC
rnacentral:rRNA from 1 species